AGGAGAAAGGCACUGCGGGCAAAGGGACCUGCCCAUCACAAGAGCUGUGGUGCAGAGCCAUCGGAUGCAAACUAAACAACAGCAGAGGUGGGAGCAGAGCACCACGAGAAGGUUCGUUAGCUUGCGGUGUCAGAGGAAGUGGCUCUGGUGGCCAGAUCUAUCUCAGAGGGUUUGUUUGUUUGAGGGUGCAAAGUGACAAAGGAAGCCUGAUGUUGGACCCGGAGCUGGCUCGUGCAAGGAGAUGAAGAUGAACCUUGUGACUACAGGAGCAACCUAUUCAGCUCUUGCGGGGUUUUUAUUGGCAAAGAUGGAUUCAGCCUUUCGGCCUUCUAAAAGAUAAGUAGAGGGACCAGGGCUGGGCGGUGGAUGCAGUGGGAAUGGGCAGAGAACAAGGUCAGGAAUGGCAGGCAGGAGUUUUAAGGUAGGGGAGAGGGCUGUGCGGGAGCAAUCCCCUUUGGGUGGGUGAGGAGAGAGGAUUACUCGUCAUCAUGACCCUAGCACGUGCUGGGCAGAGCAGCUCUAGCCUGUGUGUGUUACUGUGUAGUUUGUGUCUUCUGCGUCAUGUACUCUGGAGCCUCCUCAGGUCUCGAUGUUCUCUUAGUUCUGUCAGAGAACCUCACACAUCUCAAAUGCCAUCGCUAGGGUCUCGAACGCCUGCACUCAUCAGCACGGUGCCAGUCAUCGGCUUCUCUCGUGUAACGAGUCCGAAGCGCGGGUCGGUCUCUCGCGUCAGAAGUUCACGGACGAUCCUCUUCUGCAGCGUCGUUCCUGCUGCGUCGGCAUCCUGUCUCUGGUAGCUGGUUUUCCCAAGCUGAGACUUCCCUGCAUCUUUGUUCUUAGGUCUAGAAGCCGGUCUUCUUGCGCAUCCCUCAUCUGCUUUCCUGUUACUUCUUGUAAUAGGCAGUUUUGUUUGACUCAUUCUUCCGGCUGCCGCAGAGCCUCCUCGUCUCGCCAUCGCGUCCCAGUAGGUCAUCUUGCCCGAGAGUCUCUGAGUCUCCUCGCCGAGAGCUUUCUCUCCUCACUGAGUUGUGUGCUUUUGUAGGGUUGCUUGUAGUGUUUGUGUGUGGCUUGGAGCUGCUCUGCCCAGGGGUGCGGAGUCAGGGUUUGGUGGAAGAGCCGUAAGAACCUCUGGUCGGUGUGUCGCUAUGCCUUGACUGUUGAGGCAAAGGUAGUUAGUAAUCUCAGAUGGAUCAGCCACGGUGGGGAUGGGCGGAUGGUCACUGUAAUAGUGUUUGAUGGAGGCGAUAGGAGCCUCAUAGGAUGAGAUGUUCAGCGGUAGUGGAGCAGAAUGAUCCUUAAAGUUUGGGGGUGUUUUUUGUACCCCUAGGCCGUAGUUGCAGUCAAGAAAGUGUGGCAUCUUAGAGAUGGCAUUAUGGCUUGAAUUCUUUUUAUUUUGAAGGCAGAAGCAGUGAGCCUGGCAGAUAGCGGCCCAAGAAGUGGCUCGUGCCAGGUGGUGCCCAAGCCUCUAGGCAGCAGUCCAAAAGGACUGAGGUGCGGCCCACAGCUC